rnacentral:pre_miRNA from 1 species
AGUGGGAUAGCUGGGUCAAAUGGUAGUCCUAUUCCCAGUUUUCCAAGAAAUGUCCAUACUGCUUUCUGUAUUGGUUGUACCAAUUUGCAGUUCCACCAGCAAU